CUCUUUGCAAGCAAAUGUCAACCCUCUGGCUUCCUUUACGGGCCCUUCCUAAGGAACUCAGGCAGAUCAUCAUAUGAGCAGCAAAGGAGGACAAAUGGAGCACUCAGCACUAUCCCCCAGCAUAGUUCAUAGGAAGUUUUGUUACACCAAGACUGGCCCAAGAGAAGAGUCAUAACUUGGAGGCCCAGCAUUCCAAUAGUAGUAUUUUGACCUUUCCCAUCUUCCACACCUUUGGACAUCAGAGCAGUGACCUGCCACAAACACAGCCACAAUGUGCUUAAAGAAACAAGGUAGAGGCAGC